rnacentral:rRNA from 1 species
GAAGGGGGCUAGCGUUGUUCGGAAUAACUGGGCGUAAAGCGCACGUAGGCGGAUUGUUAAGUUAGGGGUGAAAUCCCAGGGCUCAACCCUGGAACUGCCUCUGAUACUGGCAAUCUAGAGUUCGAGAGAGGUGAGUGGAAUUCCGAGUGUAGAGGUGAAAUUCGUAGAUAUUCGGAGGAACACCAGUGGCGAAGGCGGCUCACUGGCUCGAUACUGACGCUGAGGUGCGAAAGCGUGGGGAGCAAACAGGGAUUAGAUACCCUGGUAGUCCACGCCGUAAACGAUGGAAGCUAGCCCGUCGGGCAGUUUACUGUUCGGUGGCGCAGCUAACGCAUUAAGCUUCCCCGCCUGGGGAUACGGUCGCAAGAUUAA